GAAGAAACUAGUCAACGUGCUGGAUGCUGUUUUCAAGCCUGAAGUUCGCUGAUCCAGAGCAGUCUUUCUGCAAACAUGUCUGAAGUCCAGCAGCUGAGGGACAUGUUGAAACUACAGCAAACACCUGCUGAUGGAAUGAUCACAAACCAGGAAGAAGAAAAGUGUCAUUUAAAAGAAGAGAACAAAAGAUACAUGUAGCCGUUGUUGUUGAUGAUGAAAGAAGAAAUUCUCCCUGAAC